AUGGUUCGAGAGAAAAUUAGAGUAUCUACUCGAACACUACAGUGGAAGUGUGUUGAAUCAAGAGUAGACAGUAAGCGCCUUUAUUAUGGACGCUUUAUUCUGUCUCCACUUAUGAAAGGCCAAGCUGAUACAAUAGGCAUUGCGAUGCGAAGAGUUUUGCUUGGAGAAAUAGAGGGAACAUGUAUCACACGUGCAAAAUCUGAGAAAAUACCACAUGAAUAUUCGACCAUAGUAGGUAUUCAAGAAUCAGUACAUGAAAUUUUAAUGAAUUUGAAAGAAAUAGUAUUGAGAAGUAAUCUGUAUGGGACUCGAGACGCAUCUAUUUGUAUCAACGGUCCCGGAUAUGUAACCGCUCAAGACAUCAUUUUACCACCUUCUGUGGAAAUUGUUGAUAAUACGCAACAUAUAGCUAACCUAAUAGAACCCAUUAAUUUGUGUAUUAGAUUACAAAUCGAGAGGAAUCGCGGAUAUUGUAUAAAAAGACUAAAAAACUUUCAAGACGGAAGUUAUCCUAUAGAUGCAGUAUUCAUGCCUGUUCGAAACGCAAAUCAUAGUAUUCAUUCUUAUGUGAAUGGGAAUGAAAAACAAGAAAUACUCUUUCUCGAAAUAUGGACAAAUGGGAGUUUAACUCCUAAAGAAGCGCUUUAUGAAGCCUCCCGUAAUUUGAUUGACCUAUUUAUUCCUUUUUUACAUGCGGGAGCAGAAAACUUGAAAUUAGAAAAAAAUCAACACAAAGUUACUUUACCCGGUUUCACUUUUCAUGAUACAUUGGCUAAACUA